AUUGAACGCUGGCGGCAGGCCUAACACAUGCAAGUCGAGCGGAUGAGAAGAGCUUGCUCUUCGAUUCAGCGGCGGACGGGUGAGUAAUGCCUAGGAAUCUGCCUGGUAGUGGGGGACAACGUUUCGAAAGGAACGCUAAUACCGCAUACGUCCUACAGGAGAAAGCAGGGGACCUUCGGGCCUUGCGCUAUCAGAUGAGCCUAGGUCGGAUUAGCUAGUUGGUGAGGUAAUGGCUCACCAAGGCGACGAUCCGUAACUGGUCUGAGAGGAUGAUCAGUCACACUGGAACUGAGACACGGUCCAGACUCCUACGGGAGGCAGCAGUGGGGAAUAUUGGACAAUGGGCGAAAGCCUGAUCCAGCCAUGCCGCGUGUGUGAAGAAGGUCUUCGGAUUGUAAAGCACUUUAAGUUGGGAGGAAGGGUUGUAGAUUAAUACUCUGCAAUUUUGACGUUACCGACAGAAUAAGCACCGGCUAACUCUGUGCCAGCAGCCGCAGUAAUAC
rnacentral:rRNA from 1 species